UACGUAGGGUGCGAGCGUUGUCCGGAAUUAUUGGGCGUAAAGAGCUCGUAGGCGGUUUGUCGCGUCGACUGUGAAAACCUACAGCUUAACUGUGGGCUUGCAGUCGAUACGGGCAGACUUGAGUUCGGUAGGGGAGACUGGAAUUCCUGGUGUAGCGGUGAAAUGCGCAGAUAUCAGGAGGAACACCGGUGGCGAAAGGCGGGUCUCUGGGCCGAUACUGACGCUGAGGAGCGAAAGCGUGGGGAGCGAACAGG
rnacentral:rRNA from 1 species